GAUAAUGGGAUUUCUAGUCCGACAACAUCUGGGGACCCAAGGCGGAAAACUCUGUCCUGUAAUGGGCAAUGGCCAUUGUGGCUGGGGAUGAUCAGAAUUGCAGUCCAACAACAUCUGGGAACUUCUAGGAAUCAACAACUUCUAGGAAUCCCAGUGAGUGGAGGAAUGACUGACAUUCAUUUAUGACCCAUUGACUGGUGUCAUCUUUAGGCAGACCCACUGCUUUGAGCAAUCGGAUAUGACAGGCCCCUGCUGAUGCUUCUCUGGAACCUUUGUUAUUUGAGAUUUUUAUUAAUCAUUUACUACACUUUA